rnacentral:piRNA from 1 species
UGCUUUCAUAGGUGCUGGCUGGUAA